rnacentral:lncRNA from 1 species
GACUAUCUUAUAUUUACUUAGUGAUCAUGAAGAACAGUUGUACGAACAUCAUACUUAAAAUCACAGAAAUUAAAUAUGAUUCAAAAGAAGAUUCCCAUUAAAAACAAUAAGUUCAUACAACCCCAAGAAUAUAAAAUCAAAUAUAAAACCCUUAUUCCUUUGUUAGGGCUGCAUCCAGCCCUGGAGAAGAAAUCAGCCCUGCAUAUAGUUGUGGACGAUAGCAGCAGUGCGAAGAGCUUCCAUCUUCUUCCUCCCUUCCUUUCCUGAUUCCUUCCUCCCUUCCUCCUCUGCUUAUUUUUUUAUUUCUCUGGUAUUCCCUCCUGAGAAGAGAUUGGAAUGCCUUCUCUGUUUCACGGUUGACCCUUUUAUAGGCUGCGCCCUUCCUUCUCCUCUUCUUCGUUUCACGUCAUGGAUAAGGAUGAACCCUUUGCUGUUGGGAUGAAGUUUGGAUUGAUUCGUUGGACUGCUGUGGUUCGGAUCUUAGAUCCGGCUGCUGGGAUGCUGAUCAAAGGAGAAGAUGCGUGAAGCCGGACGCGUGGGAAGAUGAAGUCAAUCCGAACGGCUGGAAUGCUAGUUCGGUUGGGAGGAAGUGGCUAACAGGUUACUUUAUUUUCGGAGAAGAUGACUCUAGAAUGCAGGG